GCCGGAAUAGCUCAAUGGCAGAGCAACUGAUUUGUAAUCAGUAGGUUGCAGGUUCAAGUCCUGUUUUCGGCACCA
rnacentral:tRNA from 1 species